UAGUCAUAUGCUUGUCUCAAAGAUUAAGCCAUGCAUGUCUAAGUAUAAGCAAUUUAUACAGUGAAACUGCGAAUGGCUCAUUAAAUCAGUUAUCGUUUAUUUGAUAGUACCUACUACUUGGAUAACCGUGGUAAUUCUAGAGCUAAUACAUGCCUAAAAGCCCCGACCUCUGGAAGGGGUGUAUUUAUUAGAUAAAAAACCAAUGCCUUCGGGCUCCUUGGUGAUUCAUAAUAACUUGCGGAGCGCAUGGCCUUGUGCCGGCGCCGGUUCAUUCAAAUUUCUGCCCUAUCAACUUUCGAUGGUAGGAUAGUGGCCUACCAUGGUUUCAACGGGUAACGGGGAAUUAGGGUUCGAUUCCGGAGAGGGAGCCUGAGAAACGGCUACCACAUCCAAGGAAGGCAGCAGGCGCGCAAAUUACCCAAUCCCGACACGGGGAGGUAGUGACAAUAAAUAACAAUCCAGGGCUCUUUUGGGUCUUGGAAUUGGAAUGAGUACAAUUUAAAUCCCUUAACGAGGAACAAUU
rnacentral:rRNA from 1 species